UAAAGUCGUUAACGGAUGAUAAC
rnacentral:siRNA from 1 species